rnacentral:tRNA from 1 species
AGGAUAAUAGUUAAAUAAUAACUUUAAAUUUGCAAUUUAAUAUUAUUGAAUAUAUCAAUUUAUCUUA